CCUACGGGAGGCAGCAGUCGAGAAUCAUUCACAAUGGGGGAAACCCUGAUGGUGCGACGCCGCGUGGGGGAAUGAAGGUCUUCGGAUUGUAAACCCCUGUCAUGUGGGAGCAAAUUAAAAAGAUAGUACCACAAGAGGAAGAGACGGCUAACUCUGUGCCAGCAGCCGCGGUAAUACAGAGGUCUCAAGCGUUGUUCGGAAUCACUGGGCGUAAAGCGUGCGUAGGCUGUUUCGUAGUUCGUGUGUGAAAGGCGCGGGCUCAACCCGCGGACGGCACAUGAUACUGCGAGACGAGAGGAAUGGAGGGGGAACCGGAAUUCUCGGUGUAGCAGUGAAAUGCGUAGAUAUCGAGCGGAACACUCGUGGCGAAGGCGGGUUCCUGGACAUUAACUGACGCUGAGGCACGAAGGCCAGGGGAGCGAAAGGGAUUAGAUACCCUUGUAGUC
rnacentral:rRNA from 1 species